AUUUCUUCUUCUUCUUCUUCUUUUUAGGGCCACAUGUGCAGCAUAUGGAAGUUCCUAGGCUGGGGAUCAAAUUGGAGCUGCAGUUGCCAGCCUACACCACAGCCACAGCAAUGCCAGAUCUGAGCCACGUCUGUGACCUACACCACGGCUCACAGCAAUGCUGGAUCCUGGACCUAUUGAGCGAGGCCAGGGAUCAAACUCAUAUUCUCAUGGAUACUAUUGGGUUCAUUACCCCAAGCCACAAUGGAACUCUUUUUCUUAACUUCUUUAUUCCUACCUUCAAAUAUCAUUCUCCUGGGGCUGUGCCAUCCUCAAGUCAACUGGCCUGCCUCAAACAUCAAGACUGGGGGGUCUUGUGAAUGUGAAAUACUGACCAGUCCUCCUAUUUACUUCCCUUUCUGCAGCCAGUUCUACAGACCUGGCUUAGAUCUUAACCCUAGAUUCUCCUGGAAGAAAAUUCUGAGACAACAACCUGAUGGAAGAGGCUUAUUGGGAGCACUGAUGGGGGAGCAAGGAGGUGAGACAGGAAAGGGAGGAGAGGUGACACAGGAUGCUUUACUGAGCAGGUUCUGCUAUGAGCAACUGCGGCUCAUUCCUCCUUGAAGACCCCUGGGGAACACACCUCAGCACGAUCCUGAGGAGAAGUGAGGGAGCUGGGGCAUUUAGGCACCAACUCCCAUCCACCAUUGGUAGAAGGCGAUCUGAGCACUGGGGGGGAAGAAUCCCCCAUCCCACUGCUAGUCUGCCUCUUGCACUAGUGAAUACUCUCCUGCAGCCAGAGGAAGCCCCCGGGGGGCUGCAGAAACAAGCCAUCCGUGUACACAGCAAUAGUGAGAUCUGAGGGGGUCUGGGCAGAGGCACCAAUGCCUCAAGCAACAUGUCUGGACCGAUGCCCCAAAGUCUUCCAUUUUCUCAGCCCCAUGUGCUCUACUUAAACCGUAAAGUUCUCCAGUUGGAAGAGACUUGGUCAUCAUCUACACGAACCAAGCCCUCUCUUCAGUCCAGAAUCCCCUCCACAGCAUUCCUGACAAGUGGUUUGUCAGCCUCAGCUUGAAUACUGCUAAUGUCAGGGAACUCGCUGCACUGAAAUUAUUCCAGCAACUUGCUAUUCCUGGAAUAACUGACCUGUUGAAAAAUUCCUUUUUAAAAAAAGAGAUUCCACAUUGGCCACCUUGUCAUUUCCAACUGUUGGCCUUAGUUCUGCCUUUCAGAGCCCCACAAAAUGAUUCAGCUCCCCCAUUCGCAACAGCCCUUUUAAUCGUUGUGAAAGCCAACUGGUACGUUUUCACUACGACUCUUCUUCUCAGGCCUAAACCAUCCAGUGCCUUUACUACUCUUACUAAAACAUGAUCUUUCCAUGUGUUACCUGCAGGGACAGGACCAAAGACAGCAUGAGAGCAUGGGGUCCUCCCCGACGCUGCCAAUGGGAUUGACUGCAGCAGCUGAAACAUCCCCCACACAGGCCCCUCUUCCCCAGUCUGGGGUCAGGGAAAAGCUCUAAAUCCUAUUGAAACAGAAGGGCUCGGGCAAACAGUGAGGGGAUGAAAACAAUGAUACCGAAACAUCAAUGCAAAUCUGGGAGGUAGAGUUCCCUCUGGGCAUCUACACAGCCCUUUAAUCAUGAGAGACUAAAGCAAAUUCGUUUUAGUAUAAUUUAUUUUUUUUUACGUUAAAGACACAACUGGAGAUUAUCAAAUUUUUGUUACCUGAAAGAUGAUAAAUUAUCUUUUAUUUUUUCAUCCAUGCUCCUCUUAAGCCCAUCAGACAGGGCAGACUGAGGGUGAUCCAUUUCUUAACACUUUUUGGGUAAGGCUGUGCUGACCAGCUAUGAAUCCACUUAACUGUAGCUUACACAUAUUUAUUUGAUCUAAGAAAACACCAGGUCUAGAUGGUUUUACUGUUAAGGUUUAUCAAAUACUCAAGAACCAGUCAAUUCCUAUUUUACUCAAACUGUUCGAGAAAAUGGGGGGUCAGGGGAGGAGAUGGAGACUUCAGCUUAUUUUGAAAAGCUAGAAUUAUCCUAAAACCAAAACCUCUCAAAAAGAGUACAUGAAAAAAAAUUAUAGGAACACCUCCUUAAUGAAUAUAGAUACAAAAUUCCUUAAAGAUUAUGAAACUGGAUCUAGCUUUGAAUUUUUGUUUUAUAAAGCAGCUGAGUUGUAUUUAUUCCAAGAAAUGUAGGAUGGUUUUACAGAAAGUCUAUUAAUGUAACUUAGUACAUUAAUAGAUUGAAGAGGUGGGUAGGAGUUAGGAAUGGAUCACAGGAAAAACCCAGAAACUUUCUGGGUUUUUUUGUUUUUUGGGGUUUUUUUUGAGUAAUUUUUUUCUGUGUAACAAAACCCACAAAAUUUCUGUGAUAUAAAACAAGUAUUUUUUUUUUUCAU
rnacentral:lncRNA from 1 species